rnacentral:rRNA from 1 species
UACGUAGGUGGCAAGCGUUGUCCGGAUUUAUUGGGCGUAAAGCGAGCGCAGGCGGUUUCUUAAGUCUGAUGUGAAAGCCCCCGGCUCAACCGGGGAGGGUCAUUGGAAACUGGGAAACUUGAGUGCAGAAGAGGAGAGUGGAACUCCAUGUGUAGCGGUGAAAUGCGUAGAUAUAUGGAGGAACACCAGUGGCGAAGGCGGCUCUCUGGUCUGUAACUGACGCUGAGGCUCGAAAGCGUGGGGAGCAAACAGGAUUAGAUACCCUGGUAGUCCACGCCGUAAACGAUGAGUGCUAAGUGUUGGAGGGUUUCCGCCCUUCAGUGCUGCAGCUAACGCGUUAAGUCGACCGCCUGGGGAGUACGGCCGCAAGGUUAAA